UUCUGUAGUGUUGGGGGCUAGGAAGCUUUGAUUCCAUACACGUGCUCUCUCAACCUGUCAUCAUCACCAGGAGCAAUUACCAAUCGCUGCUUCUGACUCCCUGUAACCACUGGAGCAGUUUCCUUCACACACACCACCCUGGGACACAAUUGAAGAGAUCUACCAGAGGGCAGGGAGCACGCUGACUAAGAGGAGAUUCGGAUUUCAGAAGAGGAGAACUGUCCAAAGCAGAUGUGAUAAAGUGAAUCUGGACAGAAGGAGAAGGAUCAUGGGGUGAACAGAGAGGUUCGUGGAGCCACCUUCUCCUUUCCCUCCUACUUCCGGGAGUGAUGCUGGGAACUUCACAAGAAUCAAGAACACAUCCUCACGUGAUGCAAUAUAAUGGGUUCCCUCAGGUGUCUGCUGCUGUAACAUCGUCUCUGUGAUGUUAUAACAUGGAAGUAUGACAGCCACAGAAGAAGUAAGACAGAUGUUUCCCCUCACAGAAGAAGUAAGACAGGUCUUUCCCUUCCAUCUGAGCAUAAGGAGCUGUCUAUAGGUUGCAUCUGAUACGAGAUCCCCCUAGUCCUAGGCCUAUCUAGUAAAUUCUUUCUGGAAACACAAAAUGAGGCAGAGUCUCCCAGGUCUGUAAACAAACAUUCAGUUGUUCAAAGGAGAAGGGUAAGUGAAGAACAAGACAGACUCUGGGAAAGCAGACAAGAUGGCGCAUCUCUGACAGGAAUGGUCCACUGAUCUCUAGGAAAGGCGCAGUCAGCAACCAGAGGAACCACUGGACAGAGCAGCACCCUUUUGAGUAGCAAAGUGUGGUUAAUGAACAUUGGAAUGUAACAAGGGCCACCAACAGUGGCCCGGGUCCUGGAGAAAUCUGGAGUGCCUCUGAGUACCUGCUUUGGACAUUCUAAGCUUUUAAUUUGGAUUCUUGGUUUCCACACAUAUCUG